UGGGGAAUUUUGGACAAUGGGCGAAAGCCUGAUCCAGCAAUGCCGCGUGUGUGAAGAAGGCCUUCGGGUUGUAAAGCACUUUUGUCCGGAAAGAAAUCCUUGGCUCUAAUACAGUCGGGGGAUGACGGUACCGGAAGAAUAAGCACCGGCUAACUACGUGCCAGCAGCCGCGGUAAUACGUAGGGUGCAAGCGUUAAUCGGAAUUACUGGGCGUAAAGCGUGCGCAGGCGGUUUGCUAAGACCGAUGUGAAAUCCCCGGGCUCAACCUGGGAACUGCAUUGGUGACUGGCAGGCUAGAGUAUGGCAGAGGGGGGUAGAAUUCCACGUGUAGCAGUGAAAUGCGUAGAGAUGUGGAGGAAUACCGAUGGCGAAGGCAGCCCCCUGGGCCAAUACUGACGCUCAUGCACGAAAGCGUGGGGAGCAAAACAGGAUUAGAUACCCUGGGUAGUCCACGCCCUAAACGAUGUCAACUAGUUGUUGGGGAUUCAUUUCCUUAGUAACGUAGCUAACGCGUGAAGUUGACCGCCUGGGGAGUACGGUCGCAAGAUUAAAACUCAAAGGAAUUGACGGGGUCAUAGCUGUUUCCU
rnacentral:rRNA from 1 species